CAGGUCAGGACACGGUAAGGAUUGACGGACUGAAGGCUCUUUCUCGAUUCCGUGGAAAGUGGUGCAUGGCCGUUUUUGGUUGGUGGAUCGAUCCGUCUGGUUAAUUCCGUUAACGAACGAGACCUCGGCACUCCGAAUAGCGCGGCGGACGUCGCGGCCUCCGGGCCGUCUUCCGCACGAGCUUCUUAGAGGGACCGUCCCCCGCCGGGGAAGGAGGUGCGAGGCAACGACAGGUCUGUGAUGCCCUUAGAUGUUCUGGGCCGCACGCGCAUUACACUGACGCGUCCAACGGGUGACUCCCGACCCGAAGGGGCCGGGGAAUCCGCAAGGCGCGUCGUGAUGGGGAUUGAACGUUGCAAUUGUUGUUCACGAACGAGGAAUUCCUAGUAGGCGCGGGUCAUCAACCCGCGCCGAUUACGUCCCUG
rnacentral:rRNA from 1 species